GGGGGCGUAGCUCCGGAUGGUAGAGCGCUCGAUUAGCAUGCAGGAAGGUACGGGGAUUGAUACCCCGCGCCUCCA